rnacentral:sRNA from 17 species
GAGGGAUGAUACAGUCGGGCCGCCCGCUGAAGCAGGAACCCACCGAGGCGAGUCAGGCUCCGGUCUGAACGCUGUAGGAAUCCUCGCCCUUCAGGGCGGGGAGGAUGUCAACAAUUGCACCAGG